CCUACGGGGGGCUGCAGUGGGGAAUAUUGCGCAAUGGGCGAAAGCCUGACGCAGCGACGCCGCGUGAGGGAUGAAGGUCUUCGGAUCGUAAACCUCUGUCAGCAGGGAAGAACGGUCACUGUGCUAAUCAGCAGUGAAUUGACGGUACCUGCAAAGGAAGCACCGGCUAACUCCGUGCCAGCAGCCUCGGUAAUACGGAGGGUGCGUGCGUUAAUCGGAAUUACUGGGCCUAAAGCGCUCGUAAGCGUUAUGUCCAGUCAAGGGUGAAAUCCCCGCGCUCAACGUGGGAACUGCCUUUGAAACUGGCAAACUGGAGUGUGUGAGAGGAUAGUGGAAUUCCAGGUGUAGGAGUGAAAGCCGUAGAUAUCUGGAGGAACAUCAGUGGCGAAGGCGACUAUCUGGCACAUAACUGACGCUGAGGAGCGAAAGCGUGGGUAGCAAACAGGAUUAGAUACCCUUGUAGUC
rnacentral:rRNA from 1 species